rnacentral:rRNA from 1 species
CAGUCGCCGCGGUAAUACAGAGGGUGCGAGCGUUAAUCGGAUUUACUGGGCGUAAAGCGUGCGUAGGCGGCUUCUUAAGUCGGAUGUGAAAUCCCUGAGCUUAACUUAGGAAUUGCAUUCGAUACUGGGAAGCUAGAGUAUGGGAGAGGAUGGUAGAAUUCCAGGUGUAGCGGUGAAAUGCGUAGAGAUCUGGAGGAAUACCGGUGGCGAAGGCGGCCCCCUGGACAAAGACUGACGCUCAGGUGCGAAAGCGUGGGGAGCAAACAGGAUUAGAUACCCCAGUAGUCCCUGUCUCUUAUAC